GACGAACGCUGGCGGCGUGCUUAACACAUGCAAGUCGAGCGACUGCAUUCUUUUCGGAGGGUGUAUGGAGCGGCGAACGGGUGAGUAACACGUGAGUAAUCUGCCUUUGGCUUGGGAAUAACUUCGGGAAAUCGGGGCUAAUGCCUGAUGUUUACUGUCUGCUGCAUGGUGGGUGGUGGAAAGAUUUUUUGGCCAGGGAUGAGCUCGCGGUCUAUCAGCUUGNGGUGGGGUAAUGGCUUACCAAGGCUUUGACGGGUAGCCGGCCUGAGAGGGUGUUCGGCCACACUGGGACUGAGACACGGCCCAGACUCCUACGGGA
rnacentral:rRNA from 1 species